rnacentral:rRNA from 1 species
GACGAACGCUGGCGGCGUGCUUAACACAUGCAAGUCGAACGGAAAGGCCCUGCUUGCAGGGUACUCGAGUGGCGAACGGGUGAGUAACACGUGGGUGAUCUGCCCUGCACUUCGGGAUAAGCCUGGGAAACUGGGUCUAAUACCGGAUAGGAGCCAUUUUUAGUGUGAUGGUUGGAAAGUUUUUUCGGUGUAGGAUGAGCUCGCGGCCUAUCAGCUUGUUGGUGGGGUAAUGGCCUACCAAGGCGGCGACGGGAAGCCGGCCUGAGAGGGUGGACGGCCACAUUGGGACUGAGAUACGGCCCAGACUCCUACGGGAGGCAGCAGUGGGGAAUAUUGCACAAUGGGCGCAAGCCUGAUGCAGCGACGCCGCGUGGGGGAUGACGGCCUUCGGGUUGUAAACUCCUUUCGCUAGGGACGAAGCUUUUUGUGACGGUACCUAGAUAAGAAGCACCGGCUAACUACGUG